UGUUUUAAACCACCAGGCACCAGCAUAUCUUAAUACAAGAUGAAUGUAAGUGUUAUGCAUAACAACUUAAUUAACAGCCAAAUUUGAAAAGCAUCUAAAUAUGAUAAUUGAGAAACCGAAUGAACAGUGUCGCAAAGUGAUGUCACCGCCCACGUUUUUAGAAGCCACGUGUAUGGCUUCUUCAACCACACUUGCCACACAUCAAUAAAACCACCGCUCUACUCCAUUGUUAUAAAAACCCAACACACGUGAAAAAGAGGGGUUUGCUAGCCAAAGAUCAGAGAAGAGAUGGGAGGCAGAAACGGAGUAGGCUCUCCGGCGUCGACUUAGGGGAUCCACCGCACAUCGCUCUUCGGCGUCGAUGGUUCUCUGUCGGUGACGGUGGCAGAGGGUGUCGGCGACCGGACGACAUUUUUUCCAGAACUCCAUCGGGGUUUGAAACCCUAACCUCCACUCCAUCGCCGUUGUCGUGCGGGUUUCCUCUUUCUUCACCCACAUGUGAGUCGUUUGGCCGCCUGCCCUCCUGCCUCAGGCGAAGAUUCGUUACUUUGUUUUUGAAAUCUAUAUGAAGAGUGCUAAGUUAUCUUGGUUAGUAAAAAGGUAUAAUGAAGAUUUCAUUUUAUUUGGCCUUUUUUGUAUAGUACUACAGUUGGAUGAUUACUUAUAACCAUCAUCAACGAAUAAGAGGCUCACUUUUGAUGGGAUUUUGAAAGUCCUAAUUGGUGCAUACACAGAGUAUGGAAUGAGUUUGAUAAUUAGAAAUUUACCACUUGAUGGCACCAAACUUGACGGUACAUUAGUCUCCCAUGAUGUUGUCCUUUGGUCGCUUGGAAACAUGAAGAUAUGACAGGAGAAAAUUUGCACUUGAAAGGAAUGCCAUUAUCCAAGAAGAGGUAGACAAAUUGCUCAAGGCAAGUUUGAGUGGAGUUACCUUAAACUCAGAAAUUCGGAAACUGUGAUGAUGCAAAUUGUAUUUUCUCGGUUCAUUGUUUUGGCGAGGCAAUCGUGUUGGUUGCAGUCGCAAUGACCUUGCAUUUUGAGUCUUCAGAUUAUUACAUGCGAAACUGCAAGCAUGAAAAGUUCAAUUCUCUAAAACUGAAUGCAUUACAAGUUAUAAAAGGGUUAUUACUCAACUUUUUUGUAGUUUUAGCUGCUGUAAUGUAGGCCUAUUUAACUAUGUUUGGCUGUAUUUUUGUAGUUGUUUUGCUACUUUAAUGCAACCAAAAGUUGUUUGGCUGCAUUGUAGUUGUUUUACGGCUGUAAUGCGGCCCUAUCUAAAGAAGGUUGGUCGCAUUUUUCAGUUGUUGUAUUGCAGCCUGUUUAGAGUCCGUAUUAGUGCAUAUUAGUUGGUUAAUGCGCAUAGAGUUUUCUUGAACACGAGGCUAUGAUGAGUGGAUAGAUUUAAUUGGAAUUUUUUUUUGAAGCUCAAACUUUGGCGUGGCAAAAUUACAGGAUGGUAGGUUCUCACUUGCAACCUAAUUUGCAGCCAUGAUAGUUUGAUCCUUUCAACUCUGAGCCUCAUAAUGUCACAAGUUAUUAAUUAUUAUUAAUAUUAUUAUUAAUAUCUAUUAAUAGGAGUUAAUAUCUAUUAAUAGGAGAACUGAAAUGAAUAGUGUUCUUAUCCUGGCCAUCCAUGUGUAUUAAUCUUGGUUGUCCACUUAGAUCGAUGUCAUCUCCCUUUUUACCAGGUGGUGCUCAUUUCUCACCUCCGCCGCGUACAUCCUUUCGUGCAUGUUCUCCUUUGCUUCUCUGGCUUAUCGAUGCUUUUUGGGCGUCGAUGAACCUCCUUAGUUUGUCACCGGCUUCGUCGUCGGGUUAGAGGUGGUUUUAAGGGUUCUCUGCCCAAACCUGAUGCCCUUAAACACUGGGUGGCAAUGGUGUGGUGGUGGCCUUCGGUUUGGUUCUUCACCGGCAAGCUACCACCGGUUUUGUCGCAAGGUUAGCUAUUUGCCAAAAUCAAGAACCCUAAGUGGUGAUGGUGUGGUGGUAGCCGUUGGGUUGGACCUUACUCCGAGGCGUUGUUGGUUGCAUCUACUCCGGUGACAUGUAGUAAUACUAUACUAUCUCUUACUGAUUGUUUUUGUUGUUUAGUGUUUCUGGUAUGUAUGUUUCAUAUGAGGCUGUGAUGAGUUAGUAUCUGAUUGUUAAAUUGAUGAUGCACUCGCCUUUGCGUGGCGGGGAUAAAGCAUGGCAGUUCCUUAUUUGCAACCUUCUCUGUCGCCAUGGUGGUAUCAUUGCCUACUAGAGUCUGAGUAUGAGGAAAGCACCAGCACCCUUUAAUCCUAGGUAGUCAAGGCUCAAGGUGCAAAGGGUGAGCUUUUCGCCUAAGCGCAAGGUACUUAAAAAGUGAGGGCCCGAGACAAGCAAGUGGUACGUGUAUUCCAGGCCAUUUUUAGCGGGUUUAGGGUGGUUUUGAUCGAUUACAGGACAUUUUUAGCUCGCUCAGACCAAUUUAGGCUGUUUCUGACCAGUUUUUCUCCAGUUCAACCAGAUUAUCAGACCAGUUCACUGAGCACCUAGGCCCCUCGCCGCACGCCAUUAGUGCCUUUACCUACUGUGCUUUAAACUGCUCUUGACCGAGUUUAUGUUGUAUGAUUGUUGUACAUGUUUUAGGAACACCUACGCGAAAAGAGAUAAAAAGUAUGAACCCAAAUUAUACUGAAUUCAGGUUCCCACGAAUAAAGCCUCAUCCAUGGCACAAGGUAGAAGCUUGUGUGCAUCCGUUCUUUGAUGAACUAAGAGAUCCCACUACGGUCACCCGCUUCCUCCGUUCUUCAAUUUUAAACUCCAAGUACCGGUUCAUCCAGCCCACUUUGAUCAUGUUGUCAGAGGUGUCAAAUAUUUCUUUCUUGAAAUUUGAAAGAUGCCCUUUUAACGAUUCUAUUGUUUGAUGUUCAAUAACAAAAUUGGACCAGCUUGGUAGUGGGCUGAGUAUCGAGAUGGAGCAGGCUGAUUUAAGUAGAGGUAGAGGUGUAAAUAACGGUUUUGUAUCGAAGAACAGAUUCCUUGACUAGACUGUUAUCACACAUGAACCGGUUUCGCCCCAACCAGUUUGGGCUCAACCCCGACUCGGCGGUGUGGUAUAAGAUUGUGUUUUUAUGUGUCAAAAUGGUGGGGCCUAACAGGUUUUGAACCUGACCAAACAUUCCAUCUUUUUUGCUUUGGGCAUUCUACAAGUAGAGCCAUCAUUCUUAAGGUAGAUAUUGCUGACUGCACAUUAGUAUUUAUGACGUACUCCACUACUGACCUCAUAAUCUGCUAACAUGUAUUGCAUUACAACUAUUGCGGAUGACACAGCCUCUUUUAAUGUUCUGAAUGACCCACCAUAACCCAACAACAUGAGCGGUAACCCCAAUAACUAGAAUGGCCCUCCACCGCCGCAAAACACUAUAGCAAUACUGUUAUACCAGCAACAUUGGCAGUGUGGACAAAUAAUGGAGGCAAGAAUCUGAAAUGGAACUGAUUUGAUAUGUAUCUUGUACUAAAAAUUACUCUGUCCAAUUCAAUACAGUUUGUGUGUGUAUGUACAUCGUAUAAAGUCCAAUUCACACGUAUUAGAGAGUCGAAUACAUCAUAUAUGGAACACGGCAAAAAACAUAUCGUAAAUCGCGCAACGCGCGACGAUGAAUAACACUAGUUAAACUAAAUAUUGAAAGUAUUUAGUGUUUACAUAUCAUAUAAACUUAUAUAUAUAGGG